UCACCCUCAUCUUCCCUCUCUCCUUCGCGAUCCUCGCCCACUCCCUCUUCACCCAUCCUCUCAUCGUUCAGCUCCAGAAUCCCUUCAACGACCCCUCCCAGACCUCCCACCAGUGGACCCUCCUCCUCCUCAUCCAGUUCUCCUACCUCCUUUUCCUCUUCGCAUUUUCCCUCCUCUCCACCGCCGCCGUCGUCUUCACCGUCGCAUCCCUCUACACCGCCAAGCCUGUCUCCUUCUCCUCCACCAUCUCCGCCAUUCCACGCGUCUUCA
rnacentral:lncRNA from 1 species